UUUUUUUUUUUUUUUUUUUUUUUUCUGGGAGAAAAGGUGUGGAGCAGACUGAACUAGGACACAACAAAAACACACAGCUCAAAAAUUUAAUAUGAGCCACUACUAUUAACACAAUAUGUCUUUUAAAAAUUCUAGAGGCAGUGUAAUCUUUUUUUCCUUUGUCCUCCUCCUUAAAAAAUGUUACUGUUCUUGUGCAACUGGUUUUUAUUUUUCAACUUAACUGUCCAACUAAUGAGAAAUCCUUAAUUCCUGGACUAAUUCAAUCAGUUAUUAUUUUAUUCAAUGUGUAUUUAGAAAGUUGAAUCUUUGCAAGGAGGUUUUUGAUAUUUUCUUUAUUAAAAAAACCCCAAAACUCUUUCUCAACAGCAAACAUUUUCACCGAUCAAGCCUGAAGGCUCCUGGCAUAUUUUUUUUCAAUGCUUCAGGAUGUUCAGUGUUAAAAGUUUUGUUAUCAGAAAAUAAGACAAAGUUUAGGGUGCAUUUGUGUAAAAAUUGUGUUCACAGAGGUUUCCCUCAGCUGCUUCAAGGUCAAGGGGAGCUGCAAGGUGGGAGGUGAAGUUUAUCUUACAGUCUAAUUAAUGUCUUUGGAGAAAAGAAAAAGGGAGCAGAGAGCACAUAUUUGGUGCAGUCUGUGGCUCCUUUUAAGAAAACAAUUGACUUCUUUUGUAUUUUUAUUACUGGAAAAAGUGAAAACAGAUAUCUGAGGGAGAAAGAACCAGAUCUCCUGUUGCAAGGACACUUGGUGAAAUGCGGCCGGUGUCUGAUGCAGAGCUCAGCCCUGGGGAAAGGCUGGGCUUGGGAAGAGCCCCGAGUGCUGCAGCUGAGGCUGGAGCCCCAGCGGGGUCAGGGAGGUGCCCCUGGGAGAGUUCCAGGGGCCUUUGGAGCUGAGCUACAGCUGCUGCUGCUGGCAGGGGAGGAGAUGAAAUUAUAGCGUGGAAAGGGGAGAAAAGAGGAAAGUCUGAAGGGGUGAAAGCACAGAGUUUUGUUUUCAUCCCUAUAAUAUUCUCAGGAAUCCCUUUAAGGGGAUGAAAGCCAGCCCUUGAAAGUUUGAUUAUUCUGUCUUCAUGUUUUGCAGGAAUCUACAGACAACAGAAACAAGUGAUAAUCAAUAAGAAUUGGAAGCAGUACAGACUGCUGCCUGAGUCUCACUGAAAUGAGUGUAGCAAGACACAAGCUCCUUCAACAAACCUUGUGACCAGUAAUUUUAGUGAACAGCAGCAGCUAAUAUGCAAUUAUGCUACAACACCCUCUACAACUCCCAGCCAAAACCCUCUGCAAGUAAAAAAAAGUCCUGUAUACUCUUAUGAGCACAAAGCCACAGACUUGAAACUUGGGAAAUUGUAGAAAUGAAGCUGCAUGACUGAUCUUACUACAGCUUCCCAAGACACCUCUCAGUCAUUAAUUUCAUGACUCUUUCAGAAUGUUGUCCCAGUGCAGAGCAUAGAUAAGAAAAAAGUGAAGUACAAAAUGCUUGAGGUGUAUGGCCACUGUAUGAUAAGGAAUCAGACUUCUUUCAAACCAUUUAAUUCACAGACACCACUGCUGAAUGCUCUCAAAAGAUGAACAAGUAGUUUCCUCAGGAGUCUGCAAGAUGGAGAAGGUAGUAUUAUCAUUUCAUUUUAGCUGGACAUCUGAGAUGCCACUGUGGCUAGAGACAAUUUUCUGAAGAAAGUUGUUCUCCAGAUUUCCAAGGCUUCCAGCCCCAUGUUUAGAAGCCUGUGGUGUUGGACUAAUACAGGGAGAAAAAGGACACUGAUGAAUGUCCCAAAACCCUGAUGAUCUUUCACAGCUUUCACUCUGCUCUCUAUACAAGGCUGACUAGUUUAAAAGUUUAACCUAGCUAGCCCAAGGCAUCAAGCAAGUUAAAAGUAUUAUUAAAGCUUAAAUGGGGCCAUCUCCUGGCUUCAUGAACACUUCCAGGCCAAUAAAUAACUAGCUGAUUAGCAUAAAAAGGAGCAUUUCCAAUUCUUAUGAAAGGAUCAGUAAGCAUGUAAUAAAUUUUUCCAUUCCACUGACUACAUUUAAUGUGUUAAACUGUAAUAUUCUGAAUAAGACACAAGUUUUAAUGUCUGCUUUUUCAAAACACGUUUAAAUGUUAUAUUCUUUUUUUUUUAAUCUUGGUUUUUGUUUGCAUGAUUUACAUGAAAUAAAAUAUAAAAUGCAGUCUUUGAUUGCUGUCUUCUGUUUUUCUCUCUGCCUCCUAGUCCUUUUCCCAGCAAAGCUAAAUGUAAACCCUACUGCCAUUUUUAAGCAUGCAUGUGAGAGAAAAUUGAUUCCCCAACAAAGUUCUAUAUGUGCUGCAGAAAAUAAGGUUAGGCUUACUAAAGUUCUUUUAAUUUACAGGAAACCAUUUGUGACUGAUUGCUUGUGAAGAAAACAAAGGAAAAAUUUACUUUAGAAACUGAUCUGGCUCCUAGAAUCAAGACAGCUUAAAGCAGAGGGAAUCUUAAGGAGUGACAGACAUUUUGAAAGAAAGACUGCUAGCCUGGAAACCAUCUCAGCUACUAACUUUUGAAAUCAGAUAUCUUAAUCUGUCACUUUCUUGCUGAGUUACCACGAUCAGAUCAGAAGUACUCAAAUUCAGACAGGUACUAAGAUCCCAGAGAUCUUUCUCUAUGUAUUCCUGAGCCUCUCUGUACCCCGUCUACCAAAUGGGAAUAAAAGACUAAUGAAUAAUACAAUUUACACAUCCACAGCAAAUUGAAAUGUGUCUUCAUGUGUUUCCUAUUCCUAUAAAUUAAAUAUAUACAAUAUUUUGGUAAAAAGCUGAAAGUUUGUCAAGUUAUGAAGCAUACAUUUAUCUUAGACAUUUCUUACCCACCGAAACUUCCAAUACUCAAGAAGGUUAAGAAUUGUGUAUGUACAAAUCUUGUCUCACUACUCUUAUACUUCAAAGAUGACAUUGUAUUUGCAUUGCAAUUAUACCUUCAGAAACAUCAGCUAUUGUACCCUAAAAAAGAAUUAAUUUUUGUGAGCCUAAAUUUGCCACUCCCCCUGAGUAGUGGUAUUCACUCUUUUGGAAAAUAACGAUUUAUCUCACACAACACCAUUCACGUCUUAGAAACAACAACAGGAAUUUUCUUUAGCAAAAAGUGAAAUAUUAGUAUGUUAAGGAUUCAAAAUAUUUUUCUGCAAUUGUCUGUCUUAAAUGAUUAGUAACAACUUAGCCUUACAAUCUCAACUUUCUUAGUAUAUGAUAACUAAGCUACAGAAUAGAACUUUGCCUACCAAAUAUGAGCACAAAAUAUUAAAAGAUUAGGUUUUCUCAGUACUAUAAACUAGUGUCAAAAUGGUUUCUGGUAUUUCUGUAGUACUAUAUAAGCCCUCUGAAGCAUUUCAACAUGAUGUUUCACAACACAACCAUUAUCCUGAAAUGAUACAAACGAGAUAGAUUUUCAUUCUUCUCAGUGUCUCACUGCACACAAACCCCACAUUUGCAGAAAUCUUAUAAGCAGCUUCUAAGACUGUUGUCUCAGGUUCUGCUAAUUAUGAAAUGAACUGCAAAAUAAGGGUAUUUUUUAUUCUCUACUGCAUAGAAGCAUCGCUUGUCACCUACCAAACUGAUUUAUGGGAUCAUGUCUAGGUGAAGAAGCUACAACAUCUUGCUCUUUUGUAGUUUAAGGAGUUAGUAAGAAAUUAGUGCCAUUUUAGAUAUACCAAAAAGUCUAAUUUGGAAAGAAUAAAUAGUGUGGUCUAAGUAUUUUUACUUCAUGGAGCUGAGCUAGCUGCAGCACACCCAGGUUAUUCUCAAGACAAAGAAGUCCAGACAAAAAAAAUCUUGGCAUGUACAGCUGCCAUACGGAGGGUCCAUGUGUCAUUGUUGUGUGGUAAAAUUAUCUUCCAAAUUUUUUUCUUAUGUUAUUUAUAAUCGAUUGAUGUUUUCCCAGCUCUUUUUCUUUCAAAUCUGAGAGGAGGAGAAUCAUGUUAUUUUUCAGUCCAAAAGCAGAGAAAAAUAAAUUUAGCUUGAAAAACUCCAGCUAAAGUAUGAAAUGGUUUUUAUAGGCAUAAAACCAACUUCCUCUUAAGGCCUAGUGCUGGGGGACUGUCCAUGGCUUGAGGCUAAUGCUCUCCCCAGGCAGAGCUGAGGGUCCAUCCUUUCUCAUGGUUUGAUGCUCCUGUUUCUAACCUUCAUGGUUUGUUAGCCAGGUGACCUUCAACCUUCGAUCCUGGGAAGACUAUUAGUGGUGACACCAGAUUUGCCUCAGGAGCACGGCUGCAGGGGAGCAGUCCCAGGUGCACCACAAAUGCACCUUAUCACAUCAUUCUACACUUAAUCACUGGGAUAUCAAAAUACAUUCAGAAUGUGCAUAUAUAAACAUAAAUAAAUACAUGAGAAUAUAAAUAAAAAUUGGCGUUUAGAGGAGAUAAGUCAGGCUGCAGCCAUUAUACUACUGUGACCCACUUUUAUGCAUAUAUUCCCCACUUAUCCUAAUCCAAAACAGGAUUUAUGUGCAAACUUUUCUUCAAGUAAAAUCUCAGUGCUGUGACUGGGGAGUGCUCUUUAAACAAAUCUGUAGAAGUCAAUGACUCAAACUUCUAGAGAAAUUAUCUGUGUGUUUCAGAAGCUUUUGUUGCAUUGGGGUGUAAUCCCAGCUCUUUUGAAUACGAACUAACAUUUCAAAACUUGGACAGGUUUGGCUACAUGUCAGGGAAAAAAUUCAACACCUGCCAUAUUUGGGAUAUUAUUGCAAUAGCAAUAAUAAGUAACAUCCCAGAGCCUAGAGCUGUUAUAAAAAAAUCAUCAUUGAGAAACAAGGGAAAAAAAAAAAGCAUACAUCUUUUUCAUCAUAAUUCCCUGUUUUCCUUCAAGAUUUGCAUGGGUGUCCUCUAAAAAUUUCUUUCAGGAUAAAAGACUAAAAGGAAGCUUCCUAUGUUGAAAAUGGUUCAUAAGUUAAAUUCUCUGUUAGAUACAGCUGUAAAAUGAAGGUAUUCUUCAAGUAGCA
ensembl:lncRNA